rnacentral:rRNA from 1 species
CCUACACGACCGUACCGCAAACCGACACUGGUGCGCGAGAUGAGUAUUCUAAGGCGCUUGAGAGAACUCAGGAGAAGGAACUCGGCAAAUUGACACCGUAACUUCGGAAGAAGGUGUGCCUUUAGUAGGUGAAGUCCCUCGCGGAUGGAGCCCAAUGAGGUUGCAAAAAAUCGGUGGCUGCGACUGUUUAUUAAAAACACAGCACUCUGCAAACACGAAAGUGGACGUAUAGGGUGUGACGCCUGCCCGGUGCUGGAAGAUUAAAUGAUGGGGUGCAAGCUCUUGAUUGAAGUCCCAGUAAACGGCGGCCGUAACGAUAACGGUCCUAAGGUAGCGAAAUUCCUUGUCGGGUAAGUUCCGACCUGCACGAAUGGCGUAACGAUGGCCACACUGUCUCCUCCUGAGACUCAGCGAAGUUGAAAUGUUUGUGAUGAUGCAAUCUCCCCGCGGAAAGACGGAAAGACCCCAUGAACCUUUACUGUAGCUUUGUAUUGGACUUUGAACAGAUCUGUGUAGGAUAGGUGGGAGGCUUUGAAGCAGGGUCGCUAGAUCUUGUGGAGCCAACGUUGAAAUACCACCCUGGUGUGUUUGAGGUUCUAACCUAGGCCCGUAAUCCGGGUUGGGGACAGUGCAUGGUAGGCAGUUUGACUGGGGCGGUCUCCUCCCAAAGUGUAACGGAGGAGUUCGAAGGUACGCUAGUUACGGUCGGACAUCGUGACGAUAGUGCAAUGGCAUAAGCGUGCUUAACUGCGAGACUGACAAGUCGAGCAGAUGCGAAAGCAGGACAUAGUGAUCCGGUGGUUCUGUAUGGAAGGGCCAUCGCUCAACGGAUAAAAGGUACUCUGGGGAUAACAGGCUGAUACCGCCCAAGAGUUCAUAUCGACGGCGGUGUUUGGCACCUCGAUGUCGGCUCAUCUCAUCCUGGGGCUGUAGCCGGUCCCAAGGGUAUGGCUGUUCGCCAUUUAAAGAGGUACGUGAGCUGGGUUUAAAACGUCGUGAGACAGUUUGGUCCCUAUCUUCCGUGGGCGCUGCAGAUUUGAGGAAGCCUGCUCCUAGUACGAGAGGACCGGAGUGGACGCACCUCUGGUGUAUCGGUUGUCACGCCAGUGGCAUUGCCGAGUAGCUAUGUGCGGAAGAGAUAACCGCUGAAAGCAUCUAAGCGGGAAACUCGUUUCAAGAUGAGAUCUGCCGGGGCCUUGAGCCCCCUGAAGAGUCGUUCAAGACCAGGACGUUGAUAGGUCGGGUGUGGAAGCGCAGUAAUGCGUUAAGCUAACCGAUACUAAUUGCUCGUGCGGCUUGACCCU